CCACUCGGGAGAGGGCCUGGAAGCGCCAGCACGGCAGGGCGGUUGCGGGAUGGGCGGAUCCAGCUGAGGAUCCAGCUCUGGGCCUCAGCUGCGGGAUGUGGCAGCAAAGAUGAGGUGGGCGUGAGCGCAGAGUCCCGCAGGUCAGCGGGUGUAGUGGGCGGCGGCGGGGCGGCGGACCAGUUCAGACACGUUCCUGGAUGGUGGUCCGGCCCAGUGGGCCUUAGCCCAGGAGCCCAAGGAGCCCAGGGUUUAGGCUCGCCCAGGGCUGUUCCUGACGGCCCAACGGUGAGGAUCCUGUGCGGGGACGCCAAGGUGAGAAGAAGACCAUCACCGUGCAAAACGAUGGGGAGGCCAGGUAGACCUGCUGGUGACAGGCAUUUGGUACCAGAAUACAGCAGAGAGCAAGACAGAUGUGAUCCCUGCCUGCAUGGUGCUUACACUUUCUGAAAUGCAAAUGUCUCAUCUACACUGAAGCAAACUGUCGCUUGGAGGUGGAUUAGGAUGGAAUCUGUCUUGAGAGUAGAGUUCCUGGCCCCUGGCUCAAGUAUAAGGUCUUAUCACAAUUGACAUUGUUUAUCUGAGAAAAUGGUUAUUUCUUCAUUGCUCUGGAAGGAUAAUUUCACCAGAUACACAAUUCUAGAUUGCUGGAGUUUCUUCUUUCAAACACUUCAAAUGUUCACUCUCAUCUUCUCGGCGUGGCAUCCGAAGUGAAGGCUGAGUUUAAAUAUGAUACGCCUAAGUAUUUGGGAUUCAUCCUGCUUGGUGUACUUUGUUGACAUUCUAUAUUCAUUUGUUUAUUUGUCUACUGACUAUUUCCCACAUGAGAAGAUAUAUUCACGAGGAGGCGAAUGCACUUUAUAUAGUUCCCACUGUCAGGAACAGCCUUGAAGUAGCGGCAUUCAAUAAAUAUUUGCUGAAGGAUGAAUGAAUAAUCAAAUAGAGAGCUGCUGAAUGGCACCCUUCCUCAGCUGUGGAUUGCUGCUGCUGGGACUCAUCCCAGGGGUUGCUGCUAGUCCUGUCUCCUCCUUUUGCAGAAGAGGAAACUGAAGCUGAGCAAUAUGCUCAGGCCUGCCCAGUCAUGAGGUUCUGGACCCCAACUCUCCCGAUGGGCAAAAGCAUCCUUAUGGACCAGAACCCUUCCUUGGAAUCAGAAGACUCAGAUCUGCCCCAAGAAGCACCCCUCGUGCUCUGAUCUUAGGUGACACAGGGCUGGCCCAACCCUUAGCCAUCAUCCAGCGGCCCAUUUAAGAAAAAGAGCAGGAGACCAAGGCCUUCGACAGAGGAUGUGGCCCCCAAGGUCAUACGGCAAGCUGGAAGAGUGUGACACCAGGGGUCAGAUUCCUGGCUCCCCCUCCAGAACCCUCCUCCCAUGCUCUGUGGCCUCCAGGUCUUCACCCAACCAGAGAGCGGUCCAGGGGUGUCAUCAUUCUCCCAGUCUCCCACGCCACCAGGCCUUUGUUCUCUCAGGUGGAUGUGGGGGUACCUCCUGACCUCCGCCACCAUCUGUAGGUCUGACUCCACGGUAGCAGUUUCCCCCUCAGGUGGUGGCGUGUCGAGGCAGGAAGCCCACUCCAGGCACCAUUGCUCAGGCUCUGUGUCUGCCCUGGCAUAGGGAGUCUUCUUCCCACUGGUGGUGGAGACCAUUCUGGACCCUCCCUCCCGGCCUUCCUACCAUCUCAUUCCAAAGACCAGGAGGAAGCCCCUUCUUCUCUGGAAAAAUCACUCCUUGUUGGCUCUUCUAGGCUCGGAGCGGCUCCCUCAGCUUCCCAUUGUCACCUCCCCUUCUGCGUCACUCCAGGACAGGGAUUGUGAGCAGCCCUGGUCCCUCUCCCUCUCAAACCUGUCUCAUUCCCCCUCCUUCCCAUCCUUUUCAUCCUCCCUCUCCCUUCCCUUGGGCCCCCGGUCCUCUGCUCAGUCUUAUCUGCCCCGGGAUCUGACCUGCAGAUGCACUCGCUGCUCUGCAUGCUCCUGACCCUGGGAUGGCAUCACCGCCCAGCCUGCCUGCCCCGGGGGCCAGCUCCGGCCUGUUCUCCUUCCCUUUAAAAGCCCCCAUGUCUUGAAGCUGAUUAAAACAAACACAGCUCAUAUUUUUGUUCUUAAUCCAAUUCUGCGCUGGGCGAGGGUCGAGGAGGGAGGAUAGAAUGACAGAAGCACAUUCCUCACCACGCCAGGGGGAAAGCCAGAACCAGGUACCCGCCAGGAAGUCCCCAGCCACUGGGGAGGCCAUGGUCCUAGUGGGGUGCUGGCAGGGGAUGAUGCUGGGCCCCUCCCUGGAUAGGACCCAGCAACUACUCCCAGGAGGGUGAAGG